rnacentral:rRNA from 1 species
UUGAACGCUGGCGGCAGGCCUAACACAUGCAAGUCGAGCGGUAGCACAGAGAGCUUGCUCUCGGGUGACGAGCGGCGGACGGGUGAGUAAUGUCUGGGAAACUGCCUGAUGGAGGGGGAUAACUACUGGAAACGGUAGCUAAUACCGCAUAAUGUCGCAAGACCAAAGUGGGGGACCUUCGGGCCUCAUGCCAUCAGAUGUGCCCAGAUGGGAUUAGCUAGUAGGUGGGGUAACGGCUCACCUAGGCGACGAUCCCUAGCUGGUCUGAGAGGAUGACCAGCCACACUGGAACUGAGACACGGUCCAGACUCCUACGGGAGGCAGCAGUGGGGAAUAUUGCACAAUGGGCGCAAGCCUGAUGCAGCCAUGCCGCGUGUGUGAAGAAGGCCUUCGGGUUGUAAAGCACUUUCAGCGGGGAGGAAGGCGGUGAGGUUAAUAACCUCAUCGAUUGACGUUACCCGCAGAAGAAGCACCGGCUAACUCCGUGCCAGCAGCCGCGGUAAUACGGAGGGUGCAAGCGUUAAUCGGAAUUACUGGGCGUAAAGCGCACGCAGGCGGUCUGUCAAGUCGGAUGUGAAAUCCCCGGGCUCAACCUGGGAACUGCAUUCGAAACUGGCAGGCUAGAGUCUUGUAGAGGGGGGUAGAAUUCCAGGUGUAGCGGUGAAAUGCGUAGAGAUCUGGAGGAAUACCGGUGGCGAAGGCGGCCCCCUGGACAAAGACUGACGCUCAGGUGCGAAAGCGUGGGGAGCAAACAGGAUUAGAUACCCUGGUAGUCCACGCCGUAAACGAUGUCGAUUUGGAGGUUGUGCCCUUGAGGCGUGGCUUCCGGAGCUAACGCGUUAAAUCGACCGCCUGGGGAGUACGGCCGCAAGGUUAAAACUCAAAUGAAUUGACGGGGGCCCGCACAAGCGGUGGAGCAUGUGGUUUAAUGCGAGGCAACGCGAAGGACCUUACCUGGUCUUGACGUCCACAGAACUUUCCAGAGAUGGAUUGGUGCCUUCGGGAACUGUGAGACAGGUGCUGCAUGGCUGUCGUCAGCUCGUGUUGUGAAAUGUUGGGUUAAGUCCCGCAACGAGCGCAACCCUUAUCCUUUGUUGCCAGCGGUUAGGCCGGGAACUCAAAGGAGACUGCCAGUGAUAAACUGGAGGAAGGUGGGGAUGACGUCAAGUCAUCAUGGCCCUUACGACCAGGGCUACACACGUGCUACAAUGGCAUAUACAAAGAGAAGCGACCUCGCGAGAGCAAGCGGACCUCAUAAAGUAUGUCGUAGUCCGGAUUGGAGUCUGCAACUCGACUCCAUGAAGUCGGAAUCGCUAGUAAUCGUAGAUCAGAAUGCUACGGUGAAUACGUUCCCGGGCCUUGUACACACCGCCCGUCACACCAUGGGAGUGGGUUGCAAAAGAAGUAGGUAGCUAAACCUUCGGGAGGGCGCUUACCACUUUGUGAUUCAUGACUGGGGUG